rnacentral:rRNA from 1 species
GAUGAACGCUGGCGGCGUGCUUAAUACAUGCCAGUCGAGCGACAAAACGAGGAGUUUGUCCUCUUGACGUUACCGGCGGACGGGGGGGUAAACGGGGGAUAACCUCCUUUUAAGCCGGGGUUACCUUGGGGAAACCGGAGUUAAACCCGGAAAUAAUAUUGAACCCAAUGGUCAAUUAGUAAACGCGGGUUUUCUUUUACUUAUAGGAUGGUUCGGCGCCCCAUUGGUAGGUUGGUAAGGUAACGGCUUACCAAGGCAAGGAUGGGUAGCCGACCUGGGAGGGUGAUCGGCCACACUGGAACUGAGACACGGUCCAGACUCCUACGGGAGGCAGCAGUAGGGAAUCUUCCGCAAUGGGCGAAAGCCUGACGGAGCAACGCCGCGUGAGUGAUGAAGGUCUUCGGAUCGUAAAACUCUGUUAUUAGGGAAGAACAAAUGUGUAAGUAACUAUGCACGUCUUGACGGUACCUAAUCAGAAAGCCACGGCUAACUACGUG